AAACCAACAGGGAUUGCCUCAGUAGCGGCGAGUGAAGCGGCAAGAGCUCAGAUUUAAAAUCGCCUCGGCGAGUUGUAAAUUGCAGGUUGGAGUCUUUGUGGCGGCGUGUGUCUAAGUCCCUUGGAACAGGGCGCCAUUGAGGGUGAGAGCCCCGUGCGGCACGCGCUUAAGCUUUAAGACCCUUCUGACGAGUCGAGUUGUUUGGGAAUGCAGCUCUAAGUGGGUGGUAAAUUCCAUCUAAGGCUAAAUACUGGCGAGAGACCGAUAGCGAACAAGUACUGUGAAGGAAAGAUGAAAAGCACUUUGAAAAGAGAGUGAAACAGCACGUGAAAUUGUUGAAAGGGAAGGGUAUUGGGCUCGACAUGGGGACUGCGCACCGUUGCUUCUUGUAGGCGGCGCUCUGCUGGAGCCUGGGCCAGCAUCAGUUUUCCGGCGAGGAUAAGAAGUUUUGAACCACAUUGUGGGGAUGAGUUUGAUGCUCGCAUGGGGGA
rnacentral:rRNA from 1 species